UAUACGUGUUGCCUUUUGCCCAGCAACGA
rnacentral:piRNA from 1 species